GACGAACGCUGGCGGCGUGCUUAACACAUGCAAGUCGAACGGAAAGGCCCUGCUUUUGUGGGGUGCUCGAGUGGCGAACGGGUGAGUAACACGUGAGUAACCUGCCCUUGACUUUGGGAUAACUUCAGGAAACUGGGGCUAAUACCGGAUAGGAGCUCCUGCUGCAUGGUGGGGGUUGGAAAGUUUCGGCGGUUGGGGAUGGACUCGCGGCUUAUCAGCUUGUUGGUGGGGUAGUGGCUUACCAAGGCUUGGACGGGUAGCCGGCCUGAGAGGGUGACCGGCCACCUUGGGACUGCGAUACGGACCAGACUCCUACGGGAGACAGCAGUGGGGAAUAUUGCCCAAUGGGCGGACGCCUGAUGCAGCAACGCCGCGUGCGGGAUGACGGCCUUCGGGUUGUAAACCGCUUUCGCCUGUGACGAAGCGUGAGUGACGGUAAUGGGUAAAGAAGCACCGGCUAACUACGUG
rnacentral:rRNA from 1 species